rnacentral:rRNA from 1 species
CCUACGGGAGGCAGCAGUGGGGAAUAUUGGACAAUGGGGGGAACCCUGAUCCAGCCAUGCCGCGUGUGUGAAGAAGGCCCUCGGGUUGUAAAGCACUUUCAGUGAGGAAGAACGCCUGGUGGUUAAUACCCAGCAGGAAAGACAUCACUCACAGAAGAAGCACCGGCUAACUCCGGCCAGCAGCCGCGGUAAUACGGAGGGUGCGAGCGUUAAUCGGAAUUACUGGGCGUAAAGCGCGCGUAGGUGGCUUGAUAAGCCGGUUGUGAAAGCCCCGGGCUCAACCUGGGAACGGCAUCCGGAACUGUCAAGCUAGAGUGCAGGAGAGGAAGGUAGAAUUCCCGGUGUAGCGGUGAAAUGCGUAGAGAUCGGGAGGAAUACCAGUGGCGAAGGCGGCCUUCUGGACUGACACUGACACUGAGGUGCGAAAGCGUGGGUAGCAAACAGGAUUAGAUACCCCUGUAGUC